GGCUGGUCCAAAGGUAGUGAAUUAUCUUCACUGGUGGCUCAGACUGUAACAGAUCAAACUCCUUGUUCUACUUUUUCCCCUGCUUCUCACUACUGCAUUUGACUAGUCUUAA
ensembl:misc_RNA Y_RNA Y RNA